AUGAGUUGAGGAAACAACACGACCAAAAAUGACUUCUUCUUCCUGUUCCUCUUCUUCUUUAGCUCGAGGAACGGAGCGAGGAGUGAUCACGGUGCUCUGGUCGAUUCGUAGAGGAUGUUCAGACUUAUCUCACUUAGUCAGGCUUUGAUUUCAACUCUGCUCCUAUAAGGCGAAGAUACCGGAUGUUGAAAUUUGCUGAGAUGUAGCUGCUACAUUGCAAGUUCAGAAGGGUCCUGGUGAGGUGUGUUUGGAGGUUGUUUUCACAUAAACUAGCUACUGGUCUUCUACAGAAGAACCUGGAUUAUGAUAAAGCCGGUUAAGAAGUUCUUAUUGCUAAUCUAUUGUUCUUGAGGGACUAGGUUACAAUAACUUAGGUCAGAUUGCUAAUUGUCAGGUGCUCUUUAUCUCUCUGUAUGUUCACCAUGCUUACUCAUCAAAAGUGAAUUAAUGUUCAUGGCAUUGGCAUCAGACUUGCAUUGCAUGGCCAAGCAUUGUAAUCCCUUAAUAACUUAGGGAGUGAUUACUAGGAGUCUGAAAGCAUAGCCACAGUCACAUUGGUGAGCUUGGGCUCACUCUUUUAGUCAAUAAGCCCGUUUGGAUACGGCUGGGAGCUUAUUAGAGCCACUUUGCUUCAAUUUGGUAUUCAUGCCAACAAGUGCGACCCUUCCCUCUUUGUCUAAAUUGGAUCCUCAGCUAUUCUCUACACUUUGGUCUAUGUUGAUGAUACUAUCAUUACAUGGAGCUCCACUCAACUUAUCAAUCACUCCAUCUCUUCAGGCCUUGUUCUACGGCCUUGCUUGGAGCAGCUGUGAAGCUGAAUAUCAUAGCCUAGCUCAGGUUACUGCAGAAAUCUUAUAGGUCCAAACUUUGCUGCACAAACUCAAUGUGGUUACCACAUCCCCCGUUUUCUUUUGCGACAAUUCCAUUGCAUUUUUCUUGCACACAACCCAGUUCCUCAUUGCAAUUUAUUCAUACCUACAUCUUAAGUUGGGGUUUCUAUACGUUUUCAGUUGCUGAGUAUGAUUCUAAUUCCUGUUCACCUUCUAAUGUACAUGGAUUGUGUUGCUGAUUUAUCCUAAUUCUGGUUUCACUGCAGUAGAAUAUGUCGAGGAGAGGAACUCGUUUUGUUACAUGUUGAUUAACUUACUAGUUUCUUUAUGUUUGUAAAAUUACUGUAUGCAGGUCCAAUGUCAUGGUUUAUUUAAUAUGAUUCAUGUGGAUAUUUUCUGCUAUGCAAUAUAUAAUUUGCUUUGUUUAA